rnacentral:lncRNA from 1 species
CUCCUAUUGUCACUCUUGGCCUACGGAAGACAGCUGAUGCUGAGUUUGAAUGAUUCACUCUCCUCAAAUGCAUUUCUUUACUGCCUCAGUGAAGGAUGUGUUCUCUGAGCCCACCCAGAAAAACUGGCUGGUAGAAAAGAAAGCAGAGUUGGGCAUGGAGGAGAUGCCAUACAGAGAACCAUCUCAGUCUGGUGACCCCCACCCAGGUGAUGCUGAAGGUAUUGAGAGGCAGACACCCAGAUAGAACAAUAGAGUGGACCUAUCUGGGGGACCAACAUCCUAAGAGCUGAGAGGCUGACAGCGUUCCGGGCUGAAGGCCCCAAGCAGAUUCUCAUCCAUGUAUGUAUUUGCUCUUAAACAGGUGAGUCUUAUUAAUACACAGGUGCCCUACAUUUACUCAUAAGUCAAGAAUAUGCUAAGUAGGCAGCUGUUACCUGACUACCAUUGAUUACAAAUGAAAAGAUGUCCUCACAGAGGAGCCAUGGGGGCAGGGUAAACUAAAUGUUUCUCAACAUUCCCAUACUGCCCUCUGCUCCCCUCCCAGUGCCUUCCAUGAAUGGACUCCCAACAGAAGCCUGAAGGCAAGGGGGUCCAUGGGAUCAACCUCUUGGGGCAGAGGACAGGGGGCAAAAGACAGGUGGAGAAUGGAUCCCAGGAAAGGGUGUGGGGCACUUGAAGAACAAAUGGCUCAGAACACCACCAAUACAGAUACAGACAUCCAACAGCAUCUUUCCUCUGAUGGU